GCCUGCCUAGCUCAAUCGGAUAGAGCGUCAGACUCUUAUGAUGUCUGCUCAAAGGCGGAGUACAUGCGAUCUGAAGGCUGCGAGUUCGACCCUCGCGGUGGGCU